GAAACAUAAUGCUUAAGUACCACCAAGUAUUUUGGAAGUUCUUUGUAUGACUCCUCCCAAUUGCCGAACACUUUUUCAAUUGUCUUAGUCCUAGCUAUACAUGCCUUCUUGUAUGAUGGAGUAUAAUUGUAUUGUGUAACGAUAUGCGAGAUUAUUAUACUCACCUUUAACGACGGUUUAUCGCUAAUGAUAGACAAAAUUUU
rnacentral:lncRNA from 1 species